UGGGGAAUAUUGCACAAUGGGCGAAAGCCUGAUGCAGCAACGCCGCGUGAGUGAUGAAGGCCUUCGGGUUGUAAAGCUCUGUCUUUUGGGACGAUAAUGACGGUACCAAAGGAGGAAGCCACGGCUAACUACGUGCCAGCAGCCGCGGUAAUACGUAGGUGGCAAGCGUUGUCCGGAUUUACUGGGCGUAAAGGAUGCGUAGGCGGAUUUUUAAGUGAGAUGUGAAAUACCCGGGCUUAACUUGGGUGCUGCAUUUCAAACUGGGAAUCUAGAGUGCGGGAGAGGAGAAUGGAAUUCCUAGUGUAGCGGUGAAAAUGCGUAGAGAUUAGGAAGAACACCAGUGGCGAAGGCGAUUCUCUGGACCGUAACUGACGCUGAGGCAUGAAAAGCGUGGGUAGCAAAACAGGAUUAGAUACCCUGGUAGUCCACGCCGUAAACGAUGAGUACUAGGUGUAGGAGGUAUCGACCCCUUCUGUGCCGCAGUUAACACAAUAAGUACUCCGCCUGGGAAGUACGAUCGCAAGAUUAAAAAACUUAAAAGGAAAUUGACGGGGGUCAUAGCUGUUUUCCU
rnacentral:rRNA from 1 species